rnacentral:rRNA from 1 species
GAUGAACGCUGGCGGCGUGCUUAACACAUGCAAGUCGAACGGAAAGGCUCCUGCUUGCAGGGGUACUCGAGUGGCGAACGGGUGAGUAACACGUGGGUGAUCUGCCCUGCACUUCGGGAUAAGCCUGGGAAACUGGGUCUAAUACCGGAUAGGACGAUGGUUUGGAUGCCAUUGUGGAAAGUUUUUCGGUGUGGGCUGAGCUCGCGGCCUAUCAGCUUGUUGGUGGGGUAAUGGCCUACCAAGGCGUCGACGGGUAGCCGGCCUGAGAGGGUGUACGGCCACAUUAGGACUGAGGGACGGCCCAGACUCCUACGGGAGGCAGCAGUGGGGAAUAUUGCACAAUGGGCGCAAGCCUGAUGCAGCGACGCCGCGUGGGGGAUGACGGCCUUCGGGUUGUAAACUCCUUUCGCUAGGGACGAAGCGCAAGUGACGGUACCUGGAGAAGAAGCACCGGCUAACUACGUG